rnacentral:lncRNA from 1 species
AUGAAGCUGGGUGGCCUCUGCCUCCUGCUCCUCCUCGCCGUCCUUCUCACCCUCAAUGCAGAGUUCCAAGCAGUUGAUGUAGGUAUCUGUGUGACGGAGUGCAAGGUAGACCAGGACUGUGGGGCAGGAAGACGAUGCACCAGCAAUGGAUGUGGCCGGGUCUGCUCCCCAGUCCGGCGAAGAGAGGCCUGCGAGCACCAGUGCAGAGAAGACAGGGACUGUGGGAGUGGACAUCAGUGCGUGAGGAAGGGCUGUGGGCACGUCUGCGCCCCCGUCCAUCAAGUCGAUGUAGGUAUCUGUGUGAUGGAGUGCAAGGUAGACCAGGACUGUGGGGAAGGAAGAAGAUGCACCAGCAAUGGGUGUGGCCGUGUCUGCUCCCCAGUCCAGCAAAAAGAGGCCUGCGAGCACCAGUGCAGAGAAGACAGGGACUGUGGGAGUGGACAUCAGUGCGUGAGGAAGGGCUGUGGGCACGUCUGCGCCCCCGUCCAUCAAGUCGAUGUAGGUAUCUGUGUGACGGAGUGCCGUGUAGACCAGGACUGUGGGGAAGGAAGACAAUGCACCAGCAAUGGAUGUGGCCGUGUCUGCUCCCCAGCCCAGCAAAGAGAGGCCUGCGAGCACCAAUGCAGAGAAGACAAGGACUGUGGGAGUGGACAUCAGUGCGUGAGGAAGGGCUGUGGGCACGUCUGCUCCCCCAUCCCUCAAGUAGGUGAGUCUGGACUUUCUGUAGAGUGAAAUGGACUUGAGCUUUCAAGGCAAAUGUCCUUGGAUUCAAAUCCCAACUCUGCUGUUGACCAGACAGCCCCUUCAUGUCCUCAAUCUAUGAAAUACAAAAUAAGAAAACUUACCAGUUAAAGCCCAUUUUGGUUACCAUUAACCUGCUUUCUUUGCAG